rnacentral:rRNA from 1 species
AUUGAACGCUGGCGGCAGGCCUAACACAUGCAAGUCGAGCGGAUGAAGGGAGCUUGCUCCUGGAUUCAGCGGCGGACGGGUGAGUAAUGCCUAGGAAUCUGCCUGGUAGUGGGGGAUAACGUCCUGAAACGGGCGCUAAUACCGCAUACGUCCUGAGGGAGAAAGUGGGGGAUCUUCGGACCUCACGCUAUCAGAUGAGCCUAGGUCGGAUUAGCUAGUUGGUGGGGUAAAGGCCUACCAAGGCGACGAUCCGUAACUGGUCUGAGAGGAUGAUCAGUCACACUGGAACUGAGACACGGUCAAGACUCCUACGGGAGGCAGCAGUGGGGAAUAUUGGACAAUGGGCGAAAGCCUGAUCCAGCCAUGCCGCGUGUGUGAAGAAGGUCUUCGGAUUGUAAAGCACUUUAAGUUGGGAGGAAGGGCAGUAAGUUAAUACCUUGCUGUUUUGACGUUACCAACAGAAUAAGCACCGGCUAACUUCGUG